UUUGCGAGGAUCUCAGAGCAACUGACAAUGAGCAGCUUAGGCCUGGGGCUAGAGGGGCAGGCUCGGAGGGAAGACCCGUUGAAAGCCCGGCGUGAUUUCAGUUUAUGGGUGAGGAAACUGAAGCCCAGAGGGCAAGCAGAGUUGCUGACCCUCACCAGGUUGAUGUGAACACGAGCCCCAGCAGAGGGCAAAGGGCGCAGGGGUGCCAGAACGUGAACUCCACAAGGCCAGGGGUUUGCCUUCUUGUUUCCGUGUUCCCACUGCCUAGAAUGGUGCUGACCCACGGCUGAUGAUCAGUCAGUAUGUCACACGGACUAGUGAAGGAAGAACAGCACACAACAGACAUGGUAAAGGGGUGCUCUGCGACAAGGAAGUGCCUUCACCCAGUGAAAAUAACACCCUCUUGGAAGGACAUAUUCCGUAAGUACAGGGGACCCGAUUCACAUGGCCCUAAGCAGUGCUGUUUGAUGUCUU